CUGUUAGCCUUGUCUGCACACAUGUAUGUUUCCCAUUGAUAAAACUAAAUAAUAGUGUGUUCUUCAUCUUUAUUUUGUCAUGAUUUGUGUGUUUGUA